UACGUAGGUGACCAGCGUUGUCCGGAUUUACUGGGCGUAAAGAGCGCGCAGGCGGUCGUUCAAGUCGAGUGUGAAAGCCCCCGGCUCAACUGGGGAGGGUCACUCGAUACUGAUCGACUUGAAGGCAGGAGAGGGAAGCGGAAUUCCCGGUGUAGUGGUGAAAUGCGUAGAUAUCGGGAGGAACACCAGUGGCGAAGGCGGCUUCCUGGCC
rnacentral:rRNA from 1 species